rnacentral:rRNA from 1 species
CCUACGGGAGGCAGCAGUAGGGAAUAUUGGGCAAUGGAGGCAACUCUGACCCAGCCAUGCCGCGUGCAGGAUGAAGGCGUUAUGCGUUGUAAACUGCUUUUAUAUAGGAAGAAAGAGUUCUUGCGAGAACAGUUGACGGUACUAUAUGAAUAAGCACCGGCUAACUCCGUGCCAGCAGCCGCGGUAAUACGGAGGGUGCAAGCGUUGUCCGGAUUUAUUGGGUUUAAAGGGUGCGUAGGCGGUUUAUUAAGUCAGUGGUGAAAGACGGUCGCUCAACGAUUGCAGUGCCAUUGAUACUGGUAGACUUGAGUGAGAUUGAGGUAGCUGGAAUGGAUAGUGUAGCGGUGAAAUGCAUAGAUAUUAUCCAGAACACCAAUUGCGUAGGCAAGUUACUAAGUCUCAACUGACGCUGAGGCACGAAAGUGUGGGUAUCAAACAGGAUUAGAUACCCUGGUAGUCCACACUGUAAACGAUGAUAACUAACUGUUGGCUUUCGGGUCNGUGUACAGAGAAUGUUAAGUUAUCCACCGUGGGGAGUACGCCGGCGAACGGUGAAACGUCGAAAGGAGUUGACGGCGUGAGACGNGCCGACGGACGACGACGAGGGAGGAGG